GCUUCCCUCUGGCGGCGUGCCUAAUACAUGCAAGUCGAGCGAACAGACGAGGAGCUUGCUCCUCUGACGUUAGCGGCGGACGGGUGAGUAACACGUGGAUAACCUACCUAUAAGACUGGGAUAACUUCGGGAAACCGGAGCUAAUACCGGAUAAUAUAUUGAACCGCAUGGUUCAAUAGUGAAAGACGGUUUUGCUGUCACUUAUAGAUGGAUCCGCGCCGCAUUAGCUAGUUGGUAAGGUAACGGCUUACCAAGGCGACGAUGCGUAGCCGACCUGAGAGGGUGAUCGGCCACACUGGAACUGAGACACGGUCCAGACUCCUACGGGAGGCAGCAGUAGGGAAUCUUCCGCAAUGGGCGAAAGCCUGACGGAGCAACGCCGCGUGAGUGAUGAAGGUCUUCGGAUCGUAAAACUCUGUUAUUAGGGAAGAACAAAUGUGUAAGUAACUAUGCACGUCUUGACGGUACCUAAUCAGAAAGCCACGGCUAACUACGUG
rnacentral:rRNA from 1 species